UAAUUUCUUCACGUUGGUGCUUAAUUGUACUAAAUUUAAAAAUUUCUUACAAAGUUAAAUAUAUGUUCAUAAAUUAAAAAAAAUUAUAAAGUCAGUCAAUUAAAAACCUACAAAUCAAAUAACUACUCUUUAUUUUAUCAUAAUAUUUUCAAUUCUCGAUAUUGCUUGCAUGGAUCAACAAAAAUAAUCUGGAUAAAAUUAGAAGAAUAAGAAUU
rnacentral:lncRNA from 1 species